UGGCAGUGCUGGCAGCAAGCUCCCCUCGUGCCGUGGGGUCCUGCAAGGCUGCUCUCCCCAGACCUGUGAUGUUCACAGACUAGAAAAGCAGCACUCGCUUCACUCCCAGGAAUGGAUAAAUAUGUCUCAGGCAGCUUUCCUGAGAGUCAGCUUGCAUUAAGUUACUGCUGCGGUGUAGAUAAAGGGUUGAGACAACGGCUUGGCGUCCACAUAAAACAAGUUUUUAUUGAACACGACCCACACGUUCUUGCAAGAGGGAACAGUCCUUGCCCUUGGAAGAUGCGAACAGCUGGAAUAUGGGUAAUUUUCUGACCAUAAAAACUUCAUUUUACUUUUACUGCUAUUGAAAAGCCCCAGAUAGGUGCUUUUCUCAUCCAUUUGAUUAAUCCGAGGUUAGAGGCCAUCGCAGCAACAAUUACAGAGCUGUGUACCUUUGUGCAUGUGGUAGCAGUGCAUCUCACCCUCUCGGCAAAAGAAAAUCAAAGGCAGAGUGUUGCUAGUGCUCAGAAACAAAGAAUACCCUCUCUUUUUCAUCUGACACUCCAGUGCCGGCUUGCUACGCCCACUUAGGCUCCUUUCAGCUCCCAACAUGCUUCCUCCCCGUUGCCUAGCAAUCCUAACAAUAUUUUAUGAGGCCUUAUUCCAGAGGUACCUUUUGCUAAUAUGGAAUUUGAGCUUGAAGCUCCAGGAGCAGCGUGGAGGAGGCCUGAGAUAACAUGCCUCCAAUUUAUUAUAGCCAGGGGAUGGCAGGAAAAAAAAAAAAGCCGAAUAAUCAUGAUGGGCAUCUUAGCAAUAAGGUCUUAAAUUGUAUCCCAACAAGCGAGCACGACGCCGGAGGAGGCCUCCGUCCCGCUCACCAGCUCCAGCGACGGUGAUCUGCUGCAACGGUUUCUGAGCAAGAAGAAACGAUGAGUAAAAACAACUUCUGGCUGAGCGAAGGAGAAAGGCGAGAGGGGGACGAAAUGCCGCAUUCGGUGCAGCCGGCUUUUACCAUCCGGAGGUUGGGCACCUCCGAGGAGGCGAGUGAAGCCCCUUGUCGCCCACGGCCGCUCCGGGGAGCGAUUCGCCCUGCGGUGAGGUAGCUGGCUUGGCUUUAAGUGGGCUCUCCCAGAUCAGCCUCGUUGGUAAGGCCAAAAACUCCAUGGGCCCCAAAGAGCACCUGCUGGUGGGCCUUAGCAGGGCGAGAGGAGGUCCGCGGGAGCUGCGCCGGGCAAGGGGGGGCCCUGGGGACCGCCUGGGGAAGCUGGACCAGAGCUUCUUCUAGCGAUACCUCCUCUGAGAAGGACGACGUGCCAUAAAUAUGAAGAUACUU
rnacentral:lncRNA from 1 species